rnacentral:rRNA from 1 species
UACAGAGGGUGCAAGCGUUAUUCGGAAUUAUUGGGCGUAAAGGGCGCGUAGGCGGCCUGGCAAGUGGAAGGUGAAAUCCCUCGGCUUAACCGAGGAACUGCCCUCCAAACUGCUUGGCUUGAGUCCGGGAGAGGUGAGUGGAAUUCCCAGUGUAGCGGUGAAAUGCGUAGAUAUUGGGAGGAACACCAGUGGCGAAGGCGGCUCACUGGACCGGAACUGACGCUGAGGCGCGAAAGCGUGGGGAGCAAACAGG